AACAAGGAUUCCCCUAGUAACGGCGAGUGAAGCGGGAAGAGCUCAAAUUUAAAAUCUGGCGGUUCACCGUCCGAGUUGUAGUCUAGAGAAGCAUCAUCUACGCUGGACCAUGUACAAGUCUCUUGGAACAGAGCGUCAUAGAGGGUGAGAAUCCCGUCCUUGACAUGGACUCCCAGUGUUCUGUGUUGUGCUCUCAACGAGUCGAGUUGUUUGGGAAUGCAGCUCAAAAUGGGUGGUAAAUUCCAUCUAAAGCUAAAUAUUGGCGAGAGACCGAUAGCGAACAAGUACCGUGAGGGAAAGAUGAAAAGCACUUUGGAGAGAGAGUUAAACAGUACGUGAAAUUGUUAAAAGGGAAAC
rnacentral:rRNA from 1 species